rnacentral:snRNA from 1 species
AUCAUUUGUAAUGUGGCAGUAUCAUAGCCAAUGAGGUUUAUCCGAGGCGCGAUUAUUGCUAAUUGAAAAUAUUGGAACAAGCUCAAUGUCCCCUAUUAUGGGGUUGCCUGUCUAUUUUGCGCAUUAACAGCUUUAAAAUAAUGUCUAUCUUUGUUACACUUCAGUGAAAGU